rnacentral:rRNA from 1 species
GAUGAACGCUGGCGGCGUGCCUAAUACAUGCAAGUCGAGCGAACAGACGAGGAGCUUGCUCCUCUGACGUUAGCGGCGGACGGGUGAGUAACACGUGGAUAACCUACCUAUAAGACUGGGAUAACUUCGGGAAACCGGAGCUAAUACCGGAUAAUAUAUUGAACCGCAUGGUUCAAUAGUGAAAGACGGUUUUGCUGUCACUUAUAGAUGGAUCCGCGCCGCAUUAGCUAGUUGGUAAGGUAACGGCUUACCAAGGCAACGAUGCGUAGCCGACCUGAGAGGGUGAUCGGCCACACUGGAACUGAGACACGGUCCAGACUCCUACGGGAGGCAGCAGUAGGGAAUCUUCCGCAAUGGGCGAAAGCCUGACGGAGCAACGCCGCGUGAGUGAUGAAGGUCUUCGGAUCGUAAAACUCUGUUAUUAGGGAAGAACAAAUGUGUAAGUAACUAUGCACGUCUUGACGGUACCUAAGCAGAAAACCACGGCCAACUACGU